UGGAAUGGCUCAGUUGGUAGAGCAACGCAUUCGUAAUGCGUGGGUCGAGGGUUCGAGUCCCUUUUCC
rnacentral:tRNA from 1 species